rnacentral:rRNA from 1 species
GACGUAUAGUUUUGCAUCUGGCUCAGGAUGAAUAGCAGUCUGGUUACGGCUCAGGUCGAACUCGGACGGCGUGCCUCAUUCAUUCAAGUGGGCCGCCGCAGAGAGGAGCUUGCUCUUCUAGGAUGAGUUGAGAGCGGGUGAGUAACGAGUAGGUCACCCGCCUAGUAGCGGGGGAUAAUUAUUGGCAGCGAUAGAUAAUGCCGCAUAACAAUGGAUGCCACAUGUCAUUUAUUUGAAAGGCGCAAUGCCUUCACUACAAGAUGGACCUGCGGUGCAUUAGCUAGUAGGUGAGGUAAUGGCUCACCUAGGCGAUGAUACAUAGCCGACUUGAGAGGGUGAUCGGCCACAAUGGGACUGAGACACGGCCCAGACUCCUACGGGAGGCAGCAGUAGGGAAUCUUCCCCAAUGGGGGCAACCCUGACGGAGCAACGCCGCGUGAGUGAAGAAGGUUUUCGGAUCGUAAAGCUCUGUUGUAAAUCAAGAACGGGUGUGAGAGUGGAAAUUCCUCACUGUGCGGGUAUUUUCCCAGAAAUGGAGGCUUAAUUCGGUCCCGCCAGCCGGGGAAAUACUUGGGUCCCAAGCGUAUUCGGGAUUAAUGGGGGGUAAGAGAAGGCCGGCGGGUAGAUAAUUUGGAAGAAAAGGUUGGGUUCAACCAGAAGCGUUUAGAAACUGAUGACUCUGAUUUAAAAUA